rnacentral:rRNA from 1 species
UACGUAGGGGACAAGCGUUGUCCGGAAUUAUUGGGCGUAAAGAGCUCGUAGGCGGUGUGUCGCGUCGGCCGUGAAAACCUGCAGCUUAACUGUGGGCUUGCGGUCGAUACGGGCAUCACUGGAGUUCGGCAGGGGAGACUGGAAUUCCUGGUGUAGCGGUGAAAUGCGCAGAUAUCAGGAGGAACACCGAUGGCGAAGGCAGCUCGCUGGGGCGGUACUGACGCUGAGGCGCGAAAGCGUGGGGAGCAAACAGG